rnacentral:RNase_P_RNA from 1 species
GGUCUGUCGCCGGCACCAUCAAAGGACGUGCAGGAGGAAAGUCCGGGCAGCAAAGGGCACUCCGCUCCUGAAAAUAGGAGCUAUUGGCAACAGUAGGUUAUUGCAGAAGAAAACAACCGCCACUGUCAAGUGGCAAGGGUGAGAAGGCGGGGUAAGAGCCCACCAGUCAGCGGGCGAUCGCUGAGCUGUGCAAACCGGAGGCUGCAAGUUCAUGUAAACCGUCGUCUGAAGGCUGCCCGCCUGAAAAAGAAAUUUUACGACGGAGGGUAGAACGCUUGAGCCGGCGGGCAACCGGCGGCGUAGAUAAAUGACAGACACUCUCUAACGCGAGAGCGUUGGAGAGCACAGAACCCGGCUUACAGAAG